CGCUACCACAGAAGCUAAGUGCAUGCAUGGGACUUGGCUUGGGCGCUAGCAACCGACUAACGCUAGCUAGCAAGGCCUGUGUGUUGGACCAGGAGGGAGCAGACAAGGGCGCUAGCGUUGAGCUAACGCGGCUAGCGAGGCCGUGUUGGGACUUCAAGGAAGGAAAAGGGAUGAGGACCGUGAGAACGCCGGACAGAGGAAAAACCACCUUCACCUUCCUUCACUCUUCCUUGGGAUGCACCGCAGUGACAUUGGGGACUACAACGUCCCAGCAGGUCAAUGAGAGCUGCAUAGAAGGUCAUGAUGGCAUUUCCCAAGUGGAUAGUAUCAUCUUCCUCUAGCCCAUCAUGACUGUAGAGAAUAUUACUGCUUUCUGAUGCCGAAGAAGGUCCAUCUCUUAAAGGAUCAAGGGAAAUCUUGAUUGCGUCCUCCAUUGUGGUCAACAACCCAUCACCCCCUUCCCCCCGAAGUGCAGG